CUCAGAUUGAACGCUGGCGGCAGGCCUAACACAUGCAAGUCGAGCGGUAACAGAAAGUAGCUUGCUACUUUGCUGACGAGCGGCGGACGGGUGAGUAAUGCUUGGGAACAUGCCUUGAGGUGGGGGACAACAGUUGGAAACGACUGCUAAUACCGCAUAAUGUCUACGGACCAAAGGGGGCUUCGGCUCUCGCCUUUAGAUUGGCCCAAGUGGGAUUAGCUAGUUGGUGAGGUAAUGGCUCACCAAGGCGACGAUCCCUAGCUGGUUUGAGAGGAUGAUCAGCCACACUGGGACUGAGACACGGCCCAGACUCCUACGGGAGGCAGCAGUGGGGAAUAUUGCACAAUGGGCGCAAGCCUGAUGCAGCCAUGCCGCGUGUGUGAAGAAGGCCUUCGGGUUGUAAAGCACUUUCAGUCAGGAGGAAAGGUUAGUAGUUAAUACCUGCUAGCUGUGACGUUACUGACAGAAGAAGCACCGGCUAACUCCGUGCCAGCAGCCGCGGUAAUACGGAGGGUGCGAGCGUUAAUCGGAAUUACUGGGCGUAAAGCGUACGCAGGCGGUUUGUUAAGCGAGAUGUGAAAGCCCCGGGCUCAACCUGGGAACUGCAUUUCGAACUGGCAAACUAGAGUGUGAUAGAGGGUGGUAGAAUUUCAGGUGUAGCGGUGAAAUGCGUAGAGAUCUGAAGGAAUACCGAUGGCGAAGGCAGCCACCUGGGUCAACACUGACGCUCAUGUACGAAAGCGUGGGGAGCAAACGGGAUUAGAUACCCCGGUAGUCCACGCCGUAAACGAUGUCUACUAGAAGCUCGGAACCUCGGUUCUGUUUUUCAAAGCUAACGCAUUAAGUAGACCG
rnacentral:rRNA from 1 species